CACCCACACAGGCAGUUCGCUCUGACCUGUGCCAUUUGGAGUCUAGACUCCCUUGACAUGCCAGGCUGGUCAUGCAACUGGCCUGGGGGCUGGGAGCUGGAUCCCUGCCACCAGAAGCCUGGCAUCAACUCAUCAGAGGGAAAGAAAAGGUCAACGGCAUUUGGGGAUGCCUGGAACUUAGUGACCCGAGCUAUAAGGUCACCUACGCAACCCUCUGGCUGUCCAGUCCCACCUCCAGAGGUGAGUCACAUCUGGGGGUAGGGGCAGUAAUGAGCAGCUGCUUCUCCCCCUCUCUGUGUGCAGCGCUGCCUCCAGGAUGGGCACAGGCAAUUUGAGGAAAUAUUCUGAGGAUUUAAGGUGAGGCCUGAAUGUGGUGAAGCUGCUCACACCACAUGAAGGGAAACAGAGGAACCGCUGGCUUGUGAGUGGUUAAAGCCACACCCGGCCCAUUUCAAAGAGCAUCUGGGACUUCCUAUCGUGGCUCGGUGGCAAUGAACCCAACUAGGAUCCAUGAGGACACAGGUUCGAUCCCUGGCCUCCCUCAGUGGGUUAAGGAUCCAUACGCUGCCAUGUAAGCCCCAGACACAGCUGGGAUCCUGUGUGGCUGUGGCUGUGGCUGUGGCCAGCAGAUGCAUCUCCUCACUGGGAACCUCCAUAUGCCAUGGGUACAGCCCUCAAAAGACAAAAGACAACAACAACAACAGCCAGAAAGAGCGUUCUUCGUGGAGUGGAAAGCUUCCCGGCCAGUCCCUGCCUGGUUCUUUGAGGGGCGGCAGGCUCAAGAGACAUGACCAUUUUUUUCUUUCUGGCCAAGGGAGCAUGCAAGAAGUACUCAUAGAAAAAGCUGGAAACAUCUUCAGCCAAAGAUGGAUGGAGACUUGGUGGAUAAACAUCCCAGUUUUUUUUCACCUCCUGGCUGGGAGAACUCUGGGUAUUCUAUACAAGCGAUUCAAACCUUGCUGUGUAUUAGAUCAUCUGGGGGAUAUAAAAUUUUUUUUGAUGCCCAAGCCACACCCCAGACCAAUUAAAUCUGCAUUUCUGUCGAGGGAGAAGACUCAGGCAUAUGUGUUUUUUAAAGCUCCCGGGUGA
rnacentral:lncRNA from 1 species